GAGAAUAUCUCUCAGUUUCAUUUCACUCUACUCUUUCAUUCUCUGAAGAAGAAAGUACUAGAUCUGAAGAAGAAAUUCUCCCGCCAUUGAAACCAGAGCAAGUUAGGAGGAAGAUUCAAUCUGAGAUUUCAUAAGGAGUUACUGCAGCUGCUAUUGCUAAUCAGUUGUAUAGAAGACUUUAAGAUAUGUAUUUAUAAAGUUCUUCCCCCUUUCUCCUUCUCCAUUCUUUACUGCUGCUGAAGGAUGAAUCUGAUGGAAUUGGGAGAUGGUGGAGAUCAAAGCUUGUGGUGCUGUUUCCAUUAGGUGAUUGAAGUGAUAGUUGUAGUGGGGAUCUGAAGUCGAAUUUCAAGGAAGAAGAUAUCGGUUCUGCCAUGGUGAUGUAGAGGAGAUGAUGUGGUUCUUCCAUGAAGAAAUUAGGGUUUAGUGGAUCCUGAAAUUGAACAAGAAAUUGGGUUUAUGUUGCUGGACAUGGAAUAAGGAGAAAUAGUUGCAUCUGUUUGCAAGAAUUUAUGAAAGCAACAAAAAAGAAGAUGGUGGUUUCUCUUGUGAAGAAGAAUAGUUUGUUUUGAAGCCGCAGCUGUGAAUGUUGAGGAAUCACCGAAUCAGUGAUGAUCAUGAUAUGGGUUUUACUUUGGUUGCACAUGGGUCUAAGAGAAUUGAGAAGGAAAUGGAAGAUGGCGUGAAGUUCCUGAUACUUUUGAGUUUGUGUUGCUGCCGAGAGAAAUUUUUUCAUAAGGUGUUUUGUGAUGUGAAUCUGUAAUGGAGAAAUUGGAUCUACAGGGAUGGAUAUAGAAUUGGUGUUGGCAGUAAAGGAGAUGGUGAUUAUCAAUGUGUUUAUGCAGUAAUAGGUUUUGGUAACAGAAUCAGAAUGGGAGCUGUUGAUGGUGCUGUUUUCGUGGAGUUGAAUCUUCUGCUAUUGGUGCUAUGGAUUUUAUGGAAAUGAGAUAAAGGGAAGGUGGUGAGAUGAAUUAACAAGAGAUAUAGGAAAGCUGUAAUUGAGCUAAACAGAGAAUUGGUGUAGCUUCUUGUAAUAAGGAACUGAAGUGGUUGAAGUGCUGCAAUGUGCAAGUUAUGCAGUGAUGGUGCAGUUUCUCAGUUGAAGAUUAUAAGACCUUGUUGUCAUUACCAAAUUGAGGCAGUAGUAGUAUUCAGGAAAGAGUUGAAGCUAUUGCAUAUGGGAAAUAGUUGUAUUGCGGAGAUUUAUGAAAAUGUUACCGCUUCAUGAGUAGAUGCAAGGCCGUGUUGAAGAUUUCCGUGUAGGUGGUGAUAGUUGCUGCAGUUCGUCAGUGGUGCAUAAUGUGGUAAAAUUUUUGACAGAAGAACUAAAGAAACAAAACUAAUUUUGUUUUGUUGGAGAGAAUUCACUGUAUGUAUCUUCCAUCUCUAAUGGACUCAAAAUUCCAGUCAGGAACGGAUAAGCUGGAUGGGGUGCCAUAUGAUGAAGAUGAAGUAACUUUGGAGCUUCGAUAUGUGAAGGUUAGCGGUUUGACUCACUUUUAUCGGUGCCUAAUACAGUUUACACAUACUCGGGUUAACUAUGAGGUGAGUGCCCAAUUAAAUCUCUCUUUCUCAGUUUCAGGCUAGUCAUCCCUAUAUCAUGACAUAAAAAAGAAAAACAACAAGAAAGAUUGAAAAAAAUAAAUCCACGGCAGUGCUUUUUAUACUGUGCUCUGGUAUAUACCGAGUGUUCAAUGAAGGCUUGAUGCUAUGGACAUGAUAAGAAUGGUUGAUAUAACUUGAUGAUUUAGCAUUACUUUAUGUAUUUAUGCGUUUUCCAUGGUUUGUACUUGUGUUGCAAGGAUUGUCGUGUCACGCAGAGGAGUUGAACAUGUUAAAAGCAUUGAUAUCAGGUGCUUGUUUUAGGUUACAAAUAGGAAUUUCUUAUUGAAAUUUAGGUUGUCGCAUAAUUCAGAAAUUUGUAUCUUCGACACUCACCAUGUGUGGAUGAACAUAUUUUUAGAGUUUGAAACUAAACAAAGUUAAGAGUCUUACUUAAAUUAGGAGUAACUCAUAUGUAUACCGUGUGUAGAUGAACAUAUAAUUGUUUCUUUCUCUUCUUUUGUAAUUUUCUUAAAUAUUAUUCUUAUGUAUAAUUGAA